rnacentral:rRNA from 1 species
UACGUAGGGUGCAGGCGUUAAUCGGAAUUACUGGGCGUAAAGCGUGCGCUAGGCGGUUAUGUAAGACAGAUGUGAAAUGCCCGGGCUUAACCUGGGAACUGCAUUUGUGGACUGGCAUGGCUAGAGUUUGGCAGAGGGGGGUAGAAUUCCACGUGUAGCAGUGAAAUGCGUAGAUAGUGUGGAGGAACACCGAUGGCGAAGGCAGCCCCCUGGGUCAAGAUUGGACGCUCAUGGCACGAAAGCGUGGGGAGCAAACAGG